rnacentral:rRNA from 1 species
GACGAACGCUGGCGGCGUGCUUAACACAUGCAAGUCGAACGGAAAGGCCCUGCUUUUGUGGGGUGCUCGAGUGGCGAACGGGUGAGUAACACGUGAGUAACCUGCCCUUGACUUUGGGAUAACUUCAGGAAACUGGGGCUAAUACCGGAUAGGAGCUCCUGCUGCAUGGUGGGGGUUGGAAAGUUUCGGCGGUUGGGGAUGGACUCGCGGCUUAUCAGCUUGUUGGUGGGGUAGUGGCUUACCAAGGCUUUGACGGGUAGCCGGCCUGAGAGGGUGACCGGCCACAUUGGGACUGAGAUACGGACCAGACUCCUACGGGAGGCAGCAGUGGGGAAUAUUGCACAAUGGGCGGAAGCCUGAUGCAGCAACGCCGCGUGCGGGAUGACGGCCUUCGGGUUGUAAACCGCUUUCGCCUGUGACGAAGCGUGAGUGACGGUAAUGGGUAAACAAGCACCGGCUAACUACGUG